ACACUUACCUGGCAGGGAAGAUACCAUGAUCACGAAGGUGGUUUUCCCAGGGCGAGGCUUAUCCAUUGCACUCCGGAUGUGCUGACCCCUGCGAUUUCCCCAAAGGUGGGAAACUCAGCUGCAUAAUUUGUGGUAGUGGGGGACUGCGUUCGCGCUCCCCUG
rnacentral:snRNA from 1 species